ACGGAAGGCAGCAGUGGGGAAUAUUGCACAAUGGGGGAAACCCUGAUGCAGCGACGCCGCGUGAGUGAAGAAGUAUUUCGGUAUGUAAAGCUCUAUCAGCAGGGAAGAAAAUGACGGUACCUGACCAAGAAGCCCCGGCUAACUACGUGCCAGCAGCCGCGGUAAUACGUAGGGGGCAAGCGUUAUCCGGAUUUACUGGGUGUAAAGGGAGCGUAGACGGUAAUGCAAGUCAGAAGUGAAAGCCCAGGGCUCAACCGUGGGACUGCUUUUGAAACUGCAGUACUGGAGUGCAGGAGAGGUAAGUGGAAUUCCUAGUGUAGCGGUGAAAUGCGUAGAUAUUAGGAGGAACACCAGUGGCGAAGGCGGCUUACUGGACUGUAACUGACGUUGAGGCUCGAAAGCGUGGGGAGCAAACAGGAUUAGAUACCCUGGUA
rnacentral:rRNA from 1 species